rnacentral:rRNA from 1 species
GUCCUUUUGUUUAUAUAAUUUAAGGUCUAACCUGCCCAUUGAUAAAGUUAAAAGGCCGCAGUAAUUUGACUGUGCAAAGGUAGCAUAAUCAUUAGUUUUUUAAUUAAAAGCUUGUAUGAAUGGUUGGACGAGAUAAAAUCUGUCUCUUAAUAAAAAAUAGAAUUUAAUUUUUAAGUUAAAAAGCUUAAAUAAAAAUAAAAGACGAGAAGACCCUAUAGAUCUUAAUAUAAUUUUUUUUAGUAUUAAUAAAGAAAAAUUUAUUUAUUAAAAUAAAUUUUAUUUUAUUGGGGUAAUAAAAAGAUUUAAAAAAUUCUUUAAAUUUAAACAAAAAUUAUUGGUUUUGUGAUCCAUUAUUAUUGAUUAAAAGAUUAAGUUACCUUAGGGAUAACAGCGUAAUUUUUUUAGAGAGUUCUUAUCAAUAAAAAAGUUUGCGACCUCGAUGUUGGAUUAAAAGUAAUCCUAGGUGCAGAAGUUUAGGAUUUUGGUCUGUUCGACCAUUAAAUUUUUACA